rnacentral:rRNA from 1 species
AACGAACGCUGGCGGCGUGCUUAACACAUGCAAGUCGAACGCGAAAGGGGCUUCGGUCCUGAGUAGAGUGGCGCACGGGUGAGUAACGCGUAGAUAACCUGUCCUGGUGUCUGGAAUAAUAUCUCGAAAGGGGUGCUAAUACCGGAUAUUCUUGCUUUCUAUAAGGUAUGCAAGGAAAGGUGGCCUCUGGAACAAGCUACUGCACGAGGAGGGGUCUGCGUACCAUUAGCUAGUAGGUGGGGUAAUGGCCUACCUAGGCGAAGAUGGUUAGCGGGUCUUAGAGGAUGAUCCGCCACACUGGUACUGGAACACGGACCAGACUCCUACGGGAGGCAGCAGUGGGGAAUGUUGCGCAAUGGGGGCAACCCUGACGCAGCGACGCCGCGUGAGUGAGGAAGGCCUUCGGGUCGUAAAGCUCUGUCAAAGGGGAAGAAGUGCAUGGUGGUUAAUAUCUGUCAUGUUUGACGGUACCCUUAAAGGAAGCACCGGCUAACUCCGUGCCAGCAGCCGCCGUAA